rnacentral:rRNA from 1 species
UACGGAGGGGGCUAGCGUUGUUCGGAAUUACUGGGCGUAAAGGGCGUGUAGGCGGCCAACUAAGUCCGACGUGAAAUCCCCAGGCUUAACCUGGGAACUGCGUCGGAUACUGGAUGGCUUGAAUCCGGGAGAGGGAUGCAGAAUUCCAGGUGUAGCGGUGAAAUGCGUAGAGAUGUGGAGGAACACCGAUGGCGAAGGCAGCCUCCUGGGCCAAUACUGACGCUCAUGCACGAAAGCGUGGGGAGCAAACAGG